UAUCUAUCCCAGUGCUUAGGACGGUGCCUGGCACAUAGUAAGCACUUGACAAAUAUUUAAAAAAAAAAGUCAGGCUGCUCCCAAGUUUGUCGGAGAAGGUGUAUGACUCUAAGAUGGAACAAGGAUUUUCAGUUGGCUUUGGCAUCUUCCUGCAGAUUUCUUGUAGACAUUGGCCACGACCUUAGGUCUCUGCUGCCUGGCUAGAGUCUGAAUCCCCACUCUUGCCACUCAUUAUAUUCAGGCUACAGUUUGCGGGGAGCUGUAGUUUGCGGAUCCAGCUGAGCUGAGCCUGGAGAGCAUGGGACCUGCUCCUAGCCUGAACCCUGCAGUUCCUUUGGUCAACCCAGUCUGGUUCCAGACGGAUUCCACCACCGGCGACUCUUUCUACAUCUGGCUCUGCCAUUAGAGUGGAAGCUCCUUGCAGACAGGAGGUGUAUCUUGUGCUCCCGUUGGUCUCCUCACAUGUUUCUGUCCUACCGCACGAGGCUCACCGUCCAAAAAAGGAGGAGGACAGGUACUGGAUCUCCAUUUUACAGAUGAGGAAACGGAGGCCCAGAGAAGUAUAAUGACAAGCCCAAGGUCACACAGCAGAAUGAUUUCUCCAGUCUGAGGUCUCGUGGGGCACAGGGAAGAAGUACAGAGGGAUGGAAAGACCACCAGGCUGACAAGGAGGAGAACUGGUUUCAAGUCCUGGCUCGGCUACCAACUUUCCUGUGACUUUUGACCCAAUCUCCUCCCUCUCCAAGCUCCCAGUUUCCUCAUCCGUGUGAGGGGGCGAGGAAUUUCCCUCCCAUCCUCUCCUUGAGUGGGAAUGGAGAAGACACCACCAGACAAACCCUGAAACUAACUCUAAGACAGAGUUACCAUGCAUGGUGGCUAGAGCUGGGAGUCAGAAGGAUGCGGGUUCUAAUCCUGGCUCCGCCACUU